rnacentral:rRNA from 1 species
AUUGAACGCUGGCGGCAGGCUUAACACAUGCAAGUCGAGCGGAUGAAGGGGGCUUGCUCCUGGAUUCAGCGGCGGACGGGUGAGUAAUGCCUAGGAAUCUGCCUGGUAGUGGGGGAUAACGUCCGGAAACGGGCGCUAAUACCGCAUACGUCCUGAGGGAGAAAGUGGGGGAUCUUCGGACCUCACGCUAUCAGAUGAGCCUAGGUCGGAUUAGCUAGUUGGUGGGGUAAAGGCCUACCAAGGCGACGAUCCGUAACUGGUCUGAGAGGAUGAUCAGUCACACUGGAACUGAGACACGGUCCAGACUCCUACGGGAGGCAGCAGUGGGGAAUAUUGGACAAUGGGCGAAAGCCUGAUCCAGCCAUGCCGCGUGUGUGAAGAAGGUCUUCGGAUUGUAAAGCACUUUAAGUUGGGAGGAAGGGCAGUAAGUUAAUACCUUGCUGUUUUGACGUUACCAACAGAAUAAGCACCGGCUAACUUCGUG